AUUGAACGCUGGCGGCAGGCCUAACACAUGCAAGUCGAGCGAGUGGCGGACGGGUGAGUAAUGUAUGGGGAACUGCCCGAUGGAGGGGGAUAACUACUGGAAACGGUAGCUAAUACCGCAUACCAUCGGAUGAACCCAUAUGGGAUUAGCUAGUAGGUGGGGUAACGGCUCACCUAGGCGACGAUCACUAGCUGGUCUGAGAGGAUGAUCAGCCACACUGGGACUGAGACACGGCCCAGACUCCUACGGGAGGCAGCAGUGGGGAAUAGUGCACAAUGGGCGCAAGCCUGAUGCAGCAAUGCCGAGUGUAUGAAGAAGGCCUUAGGGUUGUAAAGUACUUUCAGCGGGGAGGCGUUACCCGCAGAAGAAGCACCGGCUAACUCCGUGCCAGCAGCCGCGGUAAUAC
rnacentral:rRNA from 1 species